rnacentral:rRNA from 1 species
ACCACAGAAGGUAAUAGUCCUGUAUGUUAAACGAGAAGACUUUAGAUAUGAUCCAGAGUACCACGGGACACGUGAAACCCUGUGGGAAGCAGGAGGGACCACCCUCCAAGGCUAAAUACUACCUAGUGACCGAUAGCGUAUAGUACCGGGAGGGAAAGGUGAAAAGAACCCCGGGAGGGGAGUGAAAUAGAACCUGAAACCCUGCACUUACAAGCUGUGGAAGCACAUUUCUUGUGUGACCGCGUACUUUUUGUAGAACGGGCCAACGAGUUACGUUAAGUAGCAAGGUUAAGCACUUAAGGUGCGGAGCCGUAGCGAAAGCGAGUUUUAACUGAGCGUUCAGUUACUUGACGUAGACUCGAAACCGGGCGA